rnacentral:rRNA from 1 species
UUAAGCGUCCAUACCACGUUAAAUACACUGGUUUUCGUCCGAUCACCGAAGUUAAGCAACGUCGGGAACACCACGUGACGUUGGCU